rnacentral:rRNA from 1 species
GACGAACGCUGGCGGCGUGCUUAACACAUGCAAGUCGAGCGGUAAGGCUCCUUCGGGAGUACACGAGCGGCGAACGGGUGAGUAACACGUGAGUAAUCUGCCCUUCACUUCGGGAUAACCACCGGAAACGGUGGCUAAUACCGAAUACGACCAGUCUUCGCAUGAGGUGCUGGUGGAAAGUCUUUUCGGUGAAGGAUGUGCUCGCGGCCUAUCAGCUUGUUGGUGGGGUAAUGGCCUACCAAGGCUUCGACGGGUAGCCGGCCUGAGAGGGUGACCGGCCACACUGGGACUGAGACACGGCCCAGACUCCUACGGGAGGCAGCAGUGGGGAAUAUUGGACAAUGGGCGAAAGCCUGAUCCAGCAACGCCGCGUGAGGGAUGACGGCCUUCGGGUUGUAAACCCCUUUCAGUACCGACGAAGCGCCCUGUCGGGUGGUGACGGUAGGUACAGAAGAAGGACCGGCCAACUACGUG